UUAGGUAUAAAUAGAUUUAAUUGUUUGCUGGAGUACUACGAACAAAAAUCGUUUAAAACUCAAAGAGCUUGGCGGUGCUUUAGACUUUUCAGGGGAACUUGUCUCGUAAUCGACAGUCCACGAAUCAACCUCACCUUUUUUUGCAGUCAGUAUGUAUACCGUCGUCGUCAGGUAACUUUUGAAAAUAUAGAAGUUAGCAAGAAAACUUUUAAGUUUUUACGUCAGAUCAAGGUGCAGCCUAUAAAAAGGAGAAGAUGAGUUACAAUUAAUAAUUAUAAUUACGGAGAUUAGCUUUAAUGGCUUUUAGAUGAAGGUGGACUUGAAAGUAUGAAUUAGUAGUUAGAUGUUUUGAAUUUAGCUCUGAAGCG
rnacentral:rRNA from 1 species